AAAGAUGAGCUCGCACUUGAUUAGCUAGUUGGUAAGGUAAUGGCUUACCAAGGCUACGAUCAAUAGCUGAUCUGAGAGGAUGAUCAGCCACAUUGGGACUGAGACACGGCCCAAACUCCUACGGGAGGCAGCAGUGGGGAAUCUUGCACAAUGGGGGAAACCCUGAUGCAGCGAUGCCGCGUGAGUGAAGAAGGCCUUUGGGUUGUAAAGCUCUUUCGUCGGGGAAGAAAAUGACUGUACCCGAAUAAGAAGGUCCGGCUAACUUCGUGCCAGCAGCCGCGGUAAUACGAAGGGACCUAGCGUAGUUCGGAAUUACUGGGCUUAAAGAGCACGUAGGUGGUUAAAAAAGUUGGUGGUGAAAUCCCAAGGCUUAACCUUGGAACUGCCACCAAAACUUUUUAACUAGAGUGUGAUAGAGGUAAGUGGAAUUUCUAGUGUAGAGGUGAAAUUCGUAGAUAUUAGAAAGAACACCAAUUGCGAAGGCAACUUUCUGGAUCACUACUGACACUGAGGUGCGAAAGCAUGGGUAGCGAAGAGGAUUAGAUACCCUCGUAGUCCAUGCUGUAAACGAUGUGUGCUAGACGUUGGAAAUUUAUUUUUCAGUGUCGCAGCAAAAGCGUUAAGCACACCGCCUGGGGAGUACGACCGCAAGGUUAAAACUCAAAUGAAUUGACGGGGACCCGCACAAGCAGUGGAGCAUGUGGUUUAAUUCGAAGAUACGCGCAGAACCUUACCAACACUUGACAUGUCUGUCGCGAUCCUAAGAAAUUGGGAUCUUCAUUUAGUUGGACAGAACACAGGUGCUGCAUGGCUGUCGUCAGCUCGUGUCGUGAGAUGUUGG
rnacentral:rRNA from 1 species